rnacentral:rRNA from 1 species
GAUGAACGCUGGCGGCGUGCCUAACACAUGCAAGUCGAGCGGAGAUUACGGACGGAAGUUUUCGGAUGGAAGCCUGUAAUUCUUAGUGGCGGACGGGUGAGUAACGCGUGGGCAACCUGCCCUAUACAGGGGGAUAGCAGCUGGAAACGGCUGGUAAGACCGCAUAAGUCGGUUAAAUCGCAUGAUUUGAUCGGGAAAUGAGCAAUCAGGUAUAGGAUGGGCCCGCGUCCGAUUAGCCAGUUGGCAGGGUAAAAGCCUACCAAAGCGACGAUCGGUAGCCGGACUGAGAGGUCGGACGGCCACAUUGGGACUGAGACACGGCCCAAACUCCUACGGGAGGCAGCAGUGGGGGAUAUUGCACAAUGGAGGAAACUCUGAUGCAGCGACGCCGCGUGAGUGAAGAAGUAUUUCGGUAUGUAAAGCUCUAUCAGCAGGGAAGAUGAUGACGGUACCUGACUAAGAAGCCCCGGCUAACUACGUG